UACAGAGGGUGCGAACGUUGCUCGGAAUUACUGGGCGUAAAGCGCGUGUAGGCGGGUCGGCAAGUCAGGCGUGAAAUCCCCAGGCUCAACCUGGGAACUGCGCUUGAAACUAGCGGGCUUGAGUGUGGCAGAGGGGGGUGGAAUUCCACGUGUAGCAGUGAAAUGCGUAGAGAUGUGGCGGAACACCGAUGGCGAAGGCAGCCCCCUGGGUCAACACUGACGCUCAUGCACGAAAGCGUGGGGAGCAAACAGG
rnacentral:rRNA from 1 species